rnacentral:lncRNA from 1 species
CUGAGAUCUUGCCCUAGACUACCCACCUCCCAGCUGCAAAAGAGAAGGGCUUUAGUUCUUCCCCAACUUGUGGAGUCUGCAGGCAGGAUUCACACCCUCCCCACCAGGUUCUGGCCAGGAGGCUCCUCCAUGGGUUCAAACUGUUACAAAGUUCAGCUGGAGACUUCCUUCUCUCUGUGGUGUUUUCUCCCCACUGCUGGCUGCCCUCCUGAAGGAUCCCUGUGAGGCCAGGCAGGAAUGGCUUGCCUGGGGACCCAGCAGGCUCCCAGGGCCUUUCCCGCUGCCUUCUCUGCCCUUGUAUUUCACUCAACUCUCUAAAGUGACUCAGCUCCAGGCUCUGCCCCCAUCAGCAUUCUGCAUGCCCUGUGGAGGAAGGCAGAAGUAAUGUUCUACGUUUAUGCCUUCUGGCAUGGAAGGAGAGCACUCUUCAGUUAGAGUCUAAGCUGGAGCAUGUUAUAGUAUGGUUCUCUUCAUCAGCUUGGGGUGCAAAUGAAGUCACGUUCUUUAGUGUGGUUUUUUUUUCAAUUAGUAACCCAAGCAGGAAGUCUUCUGCUUGAGACCGCCCCACUCCUGAAUUGUCUGAUGGCACCAAGGGUAAAUUACUUCAUUCAAGUCAUUCUGCUUCUAAGUGCCAGUUGGAGGGUUGAAUAGGAAAAUUUGGAAGCUGGUGGUGGUCCUGCACAAUGCUCAAAAACACUUUCCCACUGAAGUGAUGCUUACAGGCCAGGAUCCCUGAAGGGCUAGUGUUGCCCAUCUUUGGGGCUUCCUGCUUCCACUCCUGCAGGCCACACCCACUUGUGAACCAAAUCCACUGUGGGAAGUGGUUCCAAAGUCAGCUGCCAGUCCCAAUUCCACAUGGUGCCUAUACACUUGGCCCCUAGUGUUGGGCUGGGUUGACUUCUCCUUCCAAUACAGUGAGUUCCACUUCAGGGACUUUGGAGUCCUUUCUGACCCAUGGACCUCAGCUGGGACCAUCCUAACCUCUCAGUUUGAUUCUAAUCAAGUUGAUUCUGAAAACGAAAGUCACCAGCAUCUCAAUCCCUUUCAUUCCAAAACAUUCCUGAUUCCUCCACAGCAUCAUUCUUCUUCUACAAUGUGAUCACCUGUGCACACCAAAUGAUGUCUUCAUGAAGCAGUCUUCAUCAACCACAAAUUUUCCAUUUUAUUCCUUCCUUAGGAUACUUGGUACCUCCUCAUCCUAGAAUAUGUAAUUUAGAGGCAUCUUCCCAGUGAUUCCUCAAAGGUCUGCCAAAGUGAAUUCUUGGCCCACCUUUUUGAAAAAGAAUUGCUGGAAAAUGUUCUUACUAAAAAUAUUAAGUUCUUGGGCUGGGUGCAGUGGCUCAUGCCUGCAAUCCCAGCACUUUGCGAGGCCGAGGCAGGAAGAUCACUUGAGGCCAAGAGUUUGACACCAGUUUGGGCAACAUAGCGAGACACUAUCUCUGCAAAAAAAAAAAAAAAAAAGAAAGAAAUUAACUGGACAUGGUGGCACAUACCUGUAGUCCUAGCUACUCAGGAGGUUGAGGCAGGAUAAUAACUUAAGCCCAGGAGUUUGAGGCUGCAGUGAGCCAUGAUCAUGCCACUGCACUCCAGCCUGAGUGACAGAGACUCUGUUUCUAAAAAGUAUUUUGAAAGAAACAAAAGUAUUACGUUAUCUUUCACCAGGGACCCUCUGACACACACACACACACACACAAACAUACACACACACACACACACAAUGUUUUGUCCCUACCUUUGGCUUACACAGGGGUGACAUGACACUUCUUGGUUAACUGCAAACCUCAUUAACCAUCCUUCCCUGAUCAUUGCAGCUUUGAGGUUUUCCAAUUUUGUUUUUACUUAAUGUUUUAUAUAGCUUAUACUUAGUAAUUAUAAUGCAUGUGUUAGUAGUUACCCUAAAAUUGAGGCAAAAUUUUUAAAAUAAGCAACUUUAAAAAAUUUACCAUAAAAUUUAAGAAUCAAGGCCAGUCGCGGUGGCUCAUGCCUGUAAUCCCCACACUUUGGGAGGCCAAGGCGGGCAGAUCACCCGAGGUCAGGAGUUCCAGACCAGCCUGACCAACAUGGUGAAAUCCCGUCUCUACUAAAAAUGCAAAAAGUUAGCUGGGCAUGAUGGCAUGUGCCUGUAAUCCUAGCUACUUGGGAGGCUGAGGCAGGAGAAUUGCUUGAACCCGGGAGGUGGAAGUUGCAGUGAGCCGAGAUUGCGCCAUUGCACUCCAGCCUGGGUGACACAGCAAGACUCUGUCUCAAAAAAAAAAAAAAAUCAAAUAAAUCAUACUAUAUAUAUAUAUAUAUAAAUGUAUAAAAUAUACACACACAAUUAGCUUUGAAGGAUAGAUUUUCCUCAUUUUGACACUGAUAAAACAAUUAAAUACUAUAAAAAUUCAUCUUAGUAUAGCCAACCUGUGAAAAAACUUGGAGGAAACUUAAAGUCAUAUUGCUAAGUGAAAGAAACUGAUCUGAAAAGGUUGCAUACUGUCAUAUGAUUCUAACUAUAUGACAUUCCAGAAAAGGCAAAGCUAUGGAGAUAGUUAAAAAGAUCAGUGAUUUCCAGAAGGAGGAAAGAACAGGCAGAGCACAGGGUAUAUUCAGGGCAGUGACAAUAGUCUGUAUGAUACUAUAAUGGUGAACACAUCUCGUUAUACAUCUGUCUAGACCCAUGGAAUGCGCAACACCAAGAGUGAACUCUAAUGCAAACUAGGGCUUUUUGUUCAUCAUAAUCUAUCAGUAUUGGUUCCUUAUUUGUAACAAGUGUACUACAAUACUGCAAGAUAUUAACAACAGAAGAAACUGUAGGGGAAGGUAAGGGCUAAAUGGAAACUCUCUGUACUUUCUGCUCAACUUUUCUGUAAACUUAAAGCUGCUCUAAAGAUAACAUUUAUUAGUUAAAAAAUUUUAAAAGAUCAGUUGACUAUACAAGCACAUCUUUAGGGUUCUGAACAAAAACCUAUUUCUGAAAUACUGAAUUUGUACGGGGAAAAAAGCAAUAUUCAAUUAAAUAUGAUUGACUUACUAAAACAUUACGUUAGGAACAAAAAUGUAACAUUUAUUCCAAGAAUAUCUUCUGGGAUCAGCUCCAUUCUACUUCCACCAUGCCUACAUUUUCUAAUUCUACUCUAGUUAUGAAUAAACAUGAAGCUUGAUACUCAGGAGUGAAUACGCCCACGGCUUAAGCUGAUUCUAGGUUCUAAUAGAAACAACUCGUAGCUUGAAAGAGGUGUUGUUCUUUUACAAUAAAGCAGAAUCUGGUUCAAUAAUGUAAAAGCAGAGGUAGUCCUGCAGGAAUUAGACUGUGUCAUUUGAUUUUUAUGGGAGUUAUUGUCUAAUGAGAGUUAAUGAUUAAGCACAUUUGGUUGUAUUGUCUUUUGGUUGUUAACCUAUUCUACAAAGUUUAUUACAAAAAAAAAAAAACAAGAAAAGCAUUUCACUUUCAACAUUUUAAGUGAUGCUAUGUUGGAGUCUGUUUCUAAUUAUUUUAAGUUAAAAAUUUUACAUUUUAACAGAUUUUUUUAAAAAUCAGCGUUAUUUUUUAUAAAUAGAAAUCUAUGAACUAAUAGUAUUGAAAAUGUUUUGUACUAAAUAAAGGGAGGCAAAAGCAAAAGUAACUCAGAAAACACCAGGAAGCUACUUUCCUUUCACUCCGCUUUGUGAAUCAAAGUUGAAAAGAAAACCAAUAACAUCAUUGAUAAAUUUAAAAUGAGAAUUUUUUAAUUUUAUUUUUGUCAUGAUAGAAUCGCUAAAUCAACUCUGAGCCUGCUCCUUUAACGUGGAAAUGACUGCAACCAGUAGUACAAAAUUAUGGAAAAAAAAUUCACCAAAUGGGAUUUCAUUUUAAAAUGCAGAUCCCAUUUGAAGAGCUUCACAAAGGAACACUGCCUCUGACAAGUGGAGAAAAAUCUACCCUUCAAAGCUAAUUGUGGUAUUAAAAUGAAGAAGCUGAUGCGCAGAGAGGCUAAUUAACUUUCCUGAGCUCACACAGCUAGUGGGUUGUACAUGCCAAAUCUAAAUCCUUAGUUCAGAACUCCUUUCUAAUCCAUGUAUAAAUUGGCUCCCUAAGCAGCUUCACCUGGAUAUUCCAAGGGUACUUCAUAUUCAAAAUGUUCAAAUGGAAAUCACCAUAUAUUUCUGUGUCUGCAUAACCCCCUUUACGUGCUCGACUUCAGUGAAUGCCGUUGUUGACAUUGUGUCACCCAGGACACAAACCUCAGGGUCUUUUUUGGAUCUUCUUUUGUUUGCAUUCACUUGCCUGUCGAUGGUACCCUCCUAACACCUCUUUGGUGAGAUUCUCUGUCUGUCACUGUCACUGCCAUAGAUCAAGCCCUCACCGCACCAUCGUUCAGAAGAUUAUCAAUUUCUCUUGUCCUGAAUGGCCCAUCUCUUCAGUCUUGAUUCCUUCUAAUCCAUUUUGCACCCUGCCGAGUUUGUUUUCC